rnacentral:lncRNA from 1 species
AAUCCGAUCCAAACUAUUUUAAUAUUUUAAAUUACAUAUAUAUUAUAUUAAAUAUAUUUUAUUAAUUAUUAUUUAUUAAUUAUUAAAUUUUAAUUUAUUCAUAAAAAAUAUUUUAAUCAAGUAAAAAUUAAAAAAUAUUCAUACAAUCAUAAAAUAUACCAAUAUGAUUAUUAUUUUUAGUAUAUUUUAAACUUGAAUUUGAAUUUCAAACAUCGGCU